GACGAACGCUGGCGGCGUGCCUAAUACAUGCCAGUAGAACGCACAGUUUAUACCGUAGCUUGCUACACCAUAGACUGUGAGUUGCGAACGGGUGAGUAACGCGUAGGUAACCUGCCUGGUAGCGGGGGAUAACUAUUGGAAACGAUAGCUAAUACCGCAUAAUAUUAAUUAUUGCAUGAUAAUUAAUUGAAAGGUGCAAUUGCACCACUACCAGAUGGACCUGCGUUGUAUUAGCUAGUAGGUGAGGUAACGGCUCACCUAGGCGACGAUACAUAGCCGACCUGAGAGGGUGAUCGGCCACACUGGGACUGAGACACGGCCCAGACUCCCACGGGAGGCAGCAGUAGGGAAUCUUCGGCAAUGGACGAAAGUCUGACCGAGCAACGCCGCGUGAGUGAAGAAGGUUUUCGGAUCGUAAAGCUCUGUUGUAAGAGAAGAACGGGUGUGAGAGUGGAAAGUUCACACUGUGACGGUAUCUUACCAGAAAGGGACGGCUAACUACGUG
rnacentral:rRNA from 1 species